UGGUCUCUAUGUGUGCCUCUUCUUU
rnacentral:piRNA from 1 species